CUCACUCCCUCUCCCUACCUAGCAACAGUGAUUUGUUUCCUUUCACAGCGAGUAAGUCUGCUAAGGCUGCCUAUGGAUCUUGCGACCUUACUGAGUUAAGUAAUACUUCUUUCGACUAAGCUGCGUUUAUCUGAUUUCUCCACAGGAUCCCUCUGAGAUCUCUCCUCCUGGGUCUGGGAUACCCUGGACUACUAUGGCCGAUGUCUCUGCCAACAGUGCUUCCUUUAGUUGAUGAUGUUAAAACAUUGAUAUCUGGACCAUCCUCAGACAAGCUGCCAGUCACUUCGCCAUCACCUUGGCAACCGUGAAGUGGAGCAGCGCAACCAGCAAAGCUCUCCAAACAGGUGAGCCGUGGGAAGCAGAGAGACAGAGACCUGGGGCAGCACUGCAGCGAAGCAGUUGCACAGAAACCCCAGGCCUUUGCAGAACCAGCAAAUUGGAGAAGGCAUCUGAUGUGAUAUUCGGAGAAAGCGUUUGGGCUCCAGAGAAGAUCCCUCUGGGAAUGGAAAAAAGAAGUGCCUGUCGUGGUGUUUGGGAGCGUGAGACGAUGAAGGGGUGUUCAGUGUUCUGUUUCUAGAUCUUUACAGCUCUACCCAGCUCCACACAUUUCAUUGCUAGAAAUCAAAAGAUAAUAAACUUUAAGUCUAUAA
rnacentral:lncRNA from 1 species